rnacentral:rRNA from 1 species
UACGAAGGGGGCUAGCGUUGUUCGGAAUUACUGGGCGUAAAGAGCGUGUAGGCGGCUUUACAGGUCCGUUGUGAAAACUCGAGGCUCAACCUCGAGACGCCGGUGGAAACCGUAAGGCUAGAGUCCGGAAGAGGAGAGUGGAAUUCCUGGUGUAGCGGUGAAAUGCGCAGAUAUCAGGAAGAACACCCGUGGCGAAGGCGGCUCUCUGGGACGGUACUGACGCUGAGACGCGAAAGCGUGGGGAGCGAACAGG